UCAGAUCGUAUAAAUCUUUCGCC
rnacentral:piRNA from 1 species